AGUAACGCGUGAGCAACCUGCCUAUGACAGUGGGAUAGCCUCGGGAAACCGGGAUUAAUACCGCAUGAAAUCGUAGAAACACAUGUUUUAACGGUCAAAGAUUUAUCGGUCAUAGAUGGGCUCACGUCUGAUUAGCUAGUUGGUGAGAUAACAGCCCACCAAGGCGACGAUCAGUAGCCGGUCUGAGAGGAUGAACGGCCACAUUGGAACUGAGACACGGUCCAA
rnacentral:rRNA from 1 species